rnacentral:rRNA from 1 species
GACGAACGCUGGCGGCAAGCUUAACACAUGCAAGUCGAACGCCGUAGCAAUACGGAGUGGCAGACGGGUGAGUAACACGUGGGAACGUGCCUUUCGGUUCGGAACAACUGAGGGAAACUUCAGCUAAAACCGGAUACGCCCUUCGGGGGAAAGUUUACGCCGAAAGAUCGGCCCGCGUCAGAUUAGGUAGUUGGCGGGGUAAUGGCCCACCAAGCCGAUGAUCUGUAGCUGUUCUGAGAGGAAGAUCAGCCACACUGGGACUGAGACACGGCCCAGACUCCUACGGGAGGCAGCAGUGGGGAAUAUUGGACAAUGGGCGCAAGCCUGAUCCAGCUAUGCUGCGUGGAUGAGGAAGGCCUUCGGGUUGUAAAGUCCUUUCGGCGGGGAAGAUAAUGACGGUACCCGCAGAAGAAGCCCCGGCUAAUUUCGUGCCAGCCGCCGCCGUAACAC